rnacentral:rRNA from 1 species
AGAGACAGCAGUCGCCGCGGUAAUACGGAGGAUCCAAGCGUUAUCCGGAAUCAUUGGGUUUAAAGGGUCCGUAGGCGGUCUUGUAAGUCAGUGGUGAAAGCCCAUCGCUCAACGGUGGAACGGCCAUUGAUACUGCAGGACUUGAAUUAUUGGGAAGUAACUAGAAUAUGUAGUGUAGCGGUGAAAUGCUUAGAGAUUACAUGGAAUACCAAUUGCGAAGGCAGGUUACUACCAAUUGAUUGACGCUGAUGGACGAAAGCGUGGGUAGCGAACAGGAUUAGAUACCCGCGUAGUCCCUGUCUCUUAUAC